rnacentral:lncRNA from 1 species
CCAGAAUCUAAAUGCCCUGGGAGAUAAGAGGGUAUCAGCAAGCUAUGGGCCCCUUAUCCUAAUCUUGCCUGUCCAAACAUUGAACACAGAAUUUUACAGAUGUGAGAGUUGCCCAGAAGGUCUAGGGUACAGCCUCAGGAGUAGCAAGAGGAACUGGGAGGCCAACUUGCAGUUUCAUUAGAGAGAAGCUAGGUACCAGCUAAAAGAAACCCCACUCCUACCCCAGUCCAAGAAGAACAACUGGCCUGACAUAGACUGAGAAGCAAGGAGUAAAGCUGAACCAGUUACAACUUCAUUGACAACGCACCCAGAUGUGCUCCAUGGAGGAAACAGCAAUGUCAGGAAUGAAGCUCUAAUGUUGCUAACAACAUUCUGGAAGAGACACUGGAGACAGCGUUGAGAGUUACUGGGUCAUCAGGAUUUAAUUUUUACUGAGUGCUGAGUUCCUAAACAGUGUGCAUCCAAAUGUGUCACCAUGAGGAAGGAACCGUUCUGUGAGGACAGCGUCACUAUCACUACAAUCCCACAGAAGCGAUGACACAGAAGCUUAAAGUGUGUCCUGUGUUGGAAGAUGAUCAGUGCAUUUCUGGACAUAAUUUCAGGUGACAACGAUUUGUAAAAGGGACUCUCAAGCCAAGCAUCUAUUGGAGACAGGCAUAGUGCUACAUAUCUGCAGUCUUAGUUUCUCAGAAGUUUGAGGACUGCCAGGGCAACUUUGUGAGACCCAAUCUUAAAAUCCAUCAUCAAUCAACUAGAAAUUGAUCCUGGAGGACUGGGGGGUGGGAGCAAUGAGAGGAAGAAAGGUUUCUGGGCAUAUAGAUCUUUUUUCUACAGAGACCUUCAUGUCGUUUAAAUUAUGAUGAUAUGAAUAUAUAAUAGUUCGAUAAAUAAAAAUGUAAAAUUAAAAAGAUUAAAAACUUAAAAGAAAUUUGAAGUAAAAUAGCAAUUCUAGCUGGACAGUGGUGGUGCACACCUUUAAUUCCAGCACUCAGGAGGGAGAGGCAAGCGGGUAUUUGAGUUGGAGAUCGGUUUGUUCUACAAAGCCAGAGCUGCACAGAGAACCCUGUCUCAUAACAGCCAAUGAGAUACAAGCUUAAAUACUCUUUUAGGUCGCAGCUUAGCUCCGCACUUGUAAAACGUCUUUAGAAGGCAGGAGGAAAGAUUCACACCCCUGGAGCAAUCCAGGAAACCUUUGCCCGGUGGAGAGACUGGGUGAACUUUUCUUAAGAAACGCGCAGGAAUGAUUCUCCGCCCUGUCCUUCCGGGAACAACUGACUCAGGCAUUUUAGUAAGAGUCCAGGGCAGGUAAGGCACACUGCAUGGAACUUAAUUAUGCAUUACUUGGUUUCUUUUAUGAUCCUCAAGCCAAGUGUGGUUAUUAAAUGCUUUAUGUUUAAUCUGUAUCUACUGCAAGCAGAGUCUGACUGCCUGGGAGGAGAACCGAUACUUUUGUAGUUCCAACUCUCCCAGGUCCCUUUGGUGAUACCAAGAAAAUGACAAAUGAAUUGGAAGAAGGGUGCCUUUCGGACCAGAGAAUAUUAA